AGUGAAGUGGUGGUGUGGGACAGAGGUUAAAGGGCAGGCUGAGUGAAGUGGUGGUGUGGGACAGAGGUUAAAGGGCAGGCUGAGUGAAGUGGUGGUUCAUUGUUUGUGUUAGCGUGUACACUCAGUUUGUGGUCUGCUGCACCUUUUGGUUUUUUCUGUUCAGUUCUGCAUAGAAGAACAUUAAAUGGAUGUUUCCCUUCAACUCUGCCUGUGUCCUGCCUCCUCGACUGGGACAGUCACACUUUUUCACUGUCACACAGACUAAAGGAAUGAACACCCAAACCGAAGUCAGAAUUAAGUAUAUUCUCCAGUAAGACCCUUCAAAGACUACAGGGAACAUGAAUGUGAUAUUUCCACACACUCUCCCUGUAGGAUGCAGUCCUACACAGAAGUUCUAUGUGACCUAUGCUGAGAUUGACUUCAGAAAGAUGGUCAAAACCCAGAAGAAGAAAAUCAACACAGCCGCCAGAGUCAGAAUAAGUCAAUUCUCCAAGAAAGACAGUCACAGUCCACAGUGACUUUAUGAUCGUCUUCACUCGUGCUGCUGCUUGAAGGGAUGCUGCUGCUUUUGAUGCCUUGAACAUAACUGGUUCAUCUGAAGCCAGCUCCCGUUAGGAAAUUGGUGCUUAGCUAGGUUCAAAUUUUCAUUGCAAUGGAACAUUGUUACAAAAUAAUGCAUGUUUCACAGAAAGAUGUUUGUCUGGAUUUGACAUCUUCAGCGUAUAAUGUUCUGUGGAAGGGAGUGUCAUGGAAAUAAAGUACAUUCUAGUGAAUCCCAAACAAGCCCCACUGUCCUAUGCACGUUAUUUCAGUGCCAUCCGCAGCACUUUGUCGUUAAUAUAGCUCUGAGUGGUGUCUACGUGUUCAUUUGGGAUUGUACCUGUGUUGGCAUGAAAAUUGUAGAGGGGAUCUGGGAUUGAACUUUGGUUGUCCAACAGGGGAGAGAUUUAAUCAAAACACUGAAAGCAAACCUGGUGACUGUUUUUUGCAGAGCAUUCACAUGUUCGUUGUGCAUAACUGUCAAUGUGAUAAUGUCAUUGUCAAUAACAAUCAGUGCAAUCACCACACCUGAAUGUGUUACCAAAUUGUGUAGCUUUUCCAAUAAAAUGGGUGGGUAUGAAAAGGCAUGCAAUUGCAAUGUGUAAUGAAGCACAAUGGCUGCUUUGGCGCUGUUGGAAGAUUUGGCGAAUGGAAGAAUUUGGAGAGAUCAAAUAAUACCAGCAAGUCGUUGAGCUCCGGUGUCCCUUUCCCCGCCUGUGGCACAAACACUUUGUCUGUGUAAUGCGAUAGGCUUUUAGGCCUCCACCUCAAUGUCACACCACUUCUUUUUAAUAUCUGGGAUGGUCCAACCUUCUGAACCUGCCGCAUUCACCACAUGCUGCCACUCUAACGCCUUUUUGGCAUUUGUAAUGCCCACACUGUCAACCAAACAAUAUAUUUUGUUGUUGUUCAACCCCUACAAGAACUUCAAUUUCACACUAGGUGAAAUUCCUUUUUUUAGGUUUUAUGUUGGGAUUUGCCGUCGCUGCGGUAAUGGAGUCAGUAUCGAUUAAUAUUAAUUCAGGGUGUUUCAGUGACCAUGUAUGGGCAAUAAUGGGUCAUAAACAUGAAACCAUUAAAAUACAAUGGCAGUAAUGAUUUUAAAUAUAAAACAUGUAAUUAGGUAAUACAACAUAAAAUACGAUA